rnacentral:ncRNA from 1 species
CUUCAGGGCGGGGUGAGAGUCCCCACCGGCAGUUAAAGUCUGCGAGUCGAAAGACUGAUCAGGUGUAAUUCCUGAACCGACGGUAUAGUCCGGAUGAAAGAAGAU